GUAGACGAAAAACCAAAUACCAAAUUAUUGGUAUAAGCAAAACUUUAUUCUGACCUGAUUAGUUUAAAAUUGAAUUAAAAACAUUUACUAUUUUCCAAUGCAACGUCAACAUCGCCCUUCAAUAUUAGAAUAUAUUGUCCAAACAUUCCUACACAUAUAGUAGGCACCAAAAUCUGAUCUUCUCUCUCUACAAAUUUGUGGAUUUCUAAAGUUGAAGGAGAGGUGGAAGAAAAUGGUGAUGAUGGGGCUGGAGAGGUUGAUGAGCAGCUUGAAAUCGAAGGUGAUGAAGAACAUGAAAGUGAAGAACUCGUACGACAAGAUCGACAAGAGCGAGAGCAUGAGAGUCGAAAUCAGAAGCAGAAAGGCUCGCAAACUCAUCCAAGACACUCUCAGAAUUGCUGAUUCCCCUAAAACUAGAAGCUACACUCUCUAAUCUCUCCCCUCUCUACAUCUUUGUAUUACAUAUGUUUGUAGCUAUGUCCCAUCUUAAUUUUCAAUGUAAUGCUACUUAUUAAGUAUAUAUAUAUAUAUAUGUGUGUGUAAUGUUGAGUUUUAA